CAACAUGGUCCACUUUCAUGUAGAAGUAAUGAAAGAUGAUGAUGAUAGAAGUUGUCAGUUGUUACUGUUAAAACUGCAGGCUUCAUGCCUCUUGUCAUUACUGCUUUGACUGAUUUACUAUCUCCUUAUAAUUACUUCCUUUAUAGACAAAAUGAAGUGCUGACCUUCACUGGAUUGGGGCAAGGUCUGCUUACACACUACCCUCCCCAGACCCCAACAUGUGGGAAUUAUGUUGUUAUUGUUGUAUAGACAAAGUGAAGUACUGGAUAACUUUUCAGAAAGGAUAUCUGGGGUUUAUUUUUCUGGUGCAUUGCAUUAUUUAUUGAACAAGACUCAGGCUUAAAGCGUUCGAAGUAGGUGGAGCUCAGAACUGGAGAAGAAGUGGGCUGUUUUUGAUACUCAUAAACACAUUAUUUUGGACAGUAAUCUAUGAUUGAUUCAAGCUCCUCUCCACCUUAAGUUUUUGGGUGUGAAAGAACAGUGGCCUAAAAGUUGAGAGGAAAUGGAAGUUUUCGACACUGCAAAUGUUUAGGGCUGAUAAUUGUGAAAAGUUAAAUGACUAAGGAGGAAUGCUAAACCGAGGUCACAACUGCUUUAAACAAUGAUAACUUUAACCUAAUUUUAAUGAUAAAUAUUACAUAGCAUAAAUGCUGCAAGCUUUACAAUUUUGUGAUAUUAAUGAUUCAGAAGCAUCAUGAUCAACUUUCCUCAUUAAUAUUGCUGUCUAGAGGUAGCAAGAAGAAUAAAUACGGCAAUGCUUUUUUGGUUAUUAUAAUAAAUACAGCAAUCUAAAAGCACUCCUCAAUUUACCAGUAUCGUUGAUUCCACUGAAAAUGAAAUUUUUGCUAGUACAAGAUCCGUAAUCUGGAAAUUCAGAAAAGCUAAUGAAUAUAAGAAAAUGGAGACAUAGAAAAAACAAACUUAAG
rnacentral:lncRNA from 1 species